AUUGAACGCUGGCGGCAGGCCUAACACAUGCAAGUCGAGCGGGGGUAGCAAUACCCUAGCGGCGAACGGGUGAGGAAUGCUUGGGAAUCUGCCUCGUAGUGGGGGGAUAACGUUCCGAAAGGAACGCUAAUACCGCAUACGUCCUACGGGAGAAAGGGGGGGAGUCUUCGGACCUCUCGCUAUGAGAUGAGCCCAAGCGGGAUUAGCUAGUUGGUGAGGUAAAGGCUCACCAAGGCUACGAUCCCUAGCUGGUCUGAGAGGAUGAUCAGCCACACUGGAACUGAGACACGGUCCAGACUCCUACGGGAGGCAGCAGUGGGGAAUAUUGGACAAUGGGGCGAAAGCCUGAUCCAGCCAUGCCGCGUGUGUGAAGAAGGCCUUC
rnacentral:rRNA from 1 species